CAGCGGAACAUUGUUCUUCUUCUCCAACAAGCCGAAUCCGUUCCCAAAACUCGCCAAAAUUCAGGCGAGUGAAACCCAAACUCGCACCACGCGUUUUACCUUCUCUCCUCUUGCCAUAGCGUAACCGUUUCUGACAGAUUUCCUCUCCUUCACAUGCUCUAUUUGAUUUAUUUCGGAUUUUUCACCCUUCAGAUGGAAAUGAGGAAAAAUGGGGAGCGUCAGAUCAAAUUCGAGUUGAUCUACUCCCUCCAUUUGUCCCUUUUUCAUCAGAAAAAGGGUGAAAAUCAGUUUGGGGAGAGUAUUUCUUGGCUCGGAAGAUUUCUUGAAAAGGGGAGUAGAAGCUUCGAGAUCUUUGGGAAGUCUAUAUAAGGUGAAGACCUUUUCUUGUGUAGAGGGUUUUUUUUUUCAGAGAUGGAGGGAAUUUUAGAGAGCAGUUUCUGGAGAAAUUGAGAGGGGAAAAACUAGGGUUCUAAAAUAUUCUUCUUCUUCUUUUCUAUUGUGGCUCUCCAUUUUUAGUCUCAGAUCAGAAAAAUACAAAAAUUUACUAAAAUAUGUGUUAUUUUUAGUUUGACAUUCACAUCUCUGUUUUCUGCAUCUUUAAUACGGAGGCUUCACUGUUGCUAUGGAACUGGGUUGAGUUUGGAAGUCGGAGCUGAUUCGAGUACAUCAGACUUGUUGUUAAGGCUCAGAUUUCAUUAGUUGAUUUUCAUUUCAAGCUUGUUGAUUAGCUUGCUACUGUUGUAUCUCAUUCAAACUUCAAGAAACAGUUGAUAAUUUUUUCUCAGAUGGAAAACGAAACAGAGACAGUGAAUGAACCUUUGGUACAACAUCUAUUUCUGACUGUUGCGGCUUCCCAAAACAUGGAACUUGGAACUCUUUUGUUAUGUGUAAUAUUUUAAAGAACUGUUGGGACUUUAGUAGUUUGGUUUGUUUUAUUUUGCUAUGAAAAUUUGGUUUGAAAGACAAUUGAUUGUGUUUUGUUUUGGGGUCUUCAGUUUGGUUUACUGUCCAGUUGUGUAAAUUUCAGAUUGUUGUUUUGUUUUGUUAAGUUCGAACAUUGUUACUAGGACUGUGCAUUUUUGAACUCAGUUGCAUUAUUAAUUUUUAUGAGUACUUAGUUCAGUCA